rnacentral:rRNA from 1 species
CCUACGGUGGCAGCAGUAGGGAAUAUUGGACAAUGGGCGAAAGCCUGAUCCAGCCAUGCCGCGUGAUAGAUGAAGGCCCUCUGGGUUGUAAAUAUCUUUUAUCUGGGAAGAAACAAUCUUAUUCUUAAGAUCUUGACGGUACCAGAGGAAUAAGCACCGGCUAACUCCGUGCCAGCAGCCGCGGUAAUACGGAGGGUGCAAGCGUUAUCCGGAUUCACUGGGUGCGUAGGGUGCCUGAUAAGUCUGUGGUGAAAGAUCCGAGCUUAACUUGGAAACUGCCAUUGAUACUGCCAGUCUUGAAUGUCGUAGAGGUAAGCGGAAUGUUGCAUGUAGCGGUGAAAUGCUUAGAUAUGUUACAGAACACCAAUUGCGAAGGCAGCUUACUAUGCGAUGAUUGACGCUGAGGCACGAAAGCGUGGGGAGCAAACAGGAUUAGAUACCCCAGUAGUC